rnacentral:rRNA from 1 species
UAGAGUUUGAUCAUGGCUCAGGAUGAACGCUAGCGGCAGGCUUAACACAUGCAAGUCGAGGGGCAUCGGGAGGAAAGCUUGCUUUCCUUGCCGGCGACCGGCGCACGGGUGAGUAACACGUAUGCAACCUGCCCUCUUCAGGGGGACAACCUUCCGAAAGGGAGGCUAAUCCCGCGUAUAUCGGUUUCGGGCAUCCGAGAUCGAGGAAAGAUUCAUCGGAAGAGGAUGGGCAUGCGGCGCAUUAGCUUGACGGCGGGGUAACGGCCCACCGUGGCGACGAUGCGUAGGGGUUCUGAGAGGAAGGUCCCCCACACUGGUACUGAGACACGGACCAGACUCCUACGGGAGGCAGCAGUGAGGAAUAUUGGUCAAUGGGAGAGAUCCUGAACCAGCCAAGCCGCGUGAGGGAAGACGGCCCUAUGGGUUGUAAACCUCUUUUGUCGGAGAACAAAACCCGGGACGUGUCCCGGACUGCGUGUAUCCGAAGAAAAAGCAUCGGCUAACUCCGUGCCAGCAGCCGCGGUAAUACGGAGGAUGCGAGCGUUAUCCGGAUUUAUUGGGUUUAAAGGGUGCGUAGGCGGUCCGUUAAGUCAGCGGUAAAAUUGCGGGGCUCAACCCCGUCGAGCCGUUGAAACUGGCAGACUUGAGUUGGCGAGAAGUACGCGGAAUGCGCGGUGUAGCGGUGAAAUGCAUAGAUAUCGCGCAGAACUCCGAUUGCGAAGGCAGCGUACCGGCGCCAGACUGACGCUGAGGCACGAAAGCGUGGGGAUCGAACAGGAUUAGAUACCCUGGUAGUCCACGCAGUAAACGAUGAAUGCUGGUUGUCCGGGUCGAAUGAGAUCUGGGCGGCGAAGCGAAAGCGAUAAGCAUUCCACCUGGGGAGUACGCCGGCAACGGUGAAACUCAAAGGAAUUGACGGGGGCCCGCACAAGCGGAGGAACAUGUGGUUUAAUUCGAUGAUACGCGAGGAACCUUACCCGGGCUCAAACGGGAGUGGAAUGGACCAGAGACGGUUCAGCCUACGGGCCGCUUCCGAGGUGCUGCAUGGUUGUCGUCAGCUCGUGCCGUGAGGUGUCGGCUUAAGUGCCAUAACGAGCGCAACCCCCGCCGGCAGUUGCUAACGGGCAAUGCCGAGGACUCUGCCGGGACUGCCGCCGCAAGGCGAGAGGAAGGCGGGGAUGACGUCAAAUCAGCACGGCCCUUACGUCCGGGGCGACACACGUGUUACAAUGGGCGGUACAGCGGGAAGCCAGGCGGCGACGCCGAGCGGAACCCGAAAGCCGUUCUCAGUUCGGAUCGGAGUCUGCAACCCGACUCCGUGAAGCUGGAUUCGCUAGUAAUCGCGCAUCAGCCAUGGCGCGGUGAAUACGUUCCCGGGCCUUGUACACACCGCCCGUCAAGCCAUGGGAGCCGGGGGUGCUUGAAGUGCGUCGCCGCGAGGCGCGCCCUAGAGCAAAACCGGUGACUGGGGCUAAGUCGUAACAAGGUAACCGUA